rnacentral:tRNA from 3 species
GGGCAUGUGGCGGAAUUGGCAUACGCGUAGCACUCAAAAUGCUAUGACCGCAAGGUCUUGUGGGUUCAACUCCCACCAUGCCCA